rnacentral:snRNA from 1 species
GUGCUCGCUUCAGCAGACAUAUACUAAAAUUGGAACGAUACAGAGAUCAGCAUGGCCCAUGUGCAAUGACAUGCAAACUUGAGAAGCGUUCCAUAUUUUU